GGUAGGAUGACACGACGUCAAUGCGUUAUUAACGAUCAGCCGACGAGAAAAGCAGUGUCUUUGUGUCCGACCUGCGUCUGCGCAGGUGUCUCUGGUCCCGCCCCUUCAGGCACGUGAUUGCUGCCAUGUUUGAGACGGGGAAAGAUGUUUGUGUUGGGUUGGGCAAGGAUGUCCCAAGGCAUGGUAUAUUGGAAAACCAAGCUGAUACUGCAAUGGAUUAAUGGACACAGCGCAACAGUCGCCAAACAGGGAUGAAAUGGGGGAACACUUCAGUGGUCAAAGACAUUGGGCCUCAAGAUCUUCAAGGUGACCAUCCUCCAAGGCAGUCUUCAGGAUACACAACGAUUCAGAGUCACCGAGCAGAGGCUGAUAAUCAAGUUCAAUACCCAUGAGGACUGCUUUAACUGGGAUCUUGGGUUCAUGUCACAUGACAGAUGACCCCAACACACACUGAUACUCACAUAGAUCCUCCCAUUCACAUACUUACUCUCACGAACACACUCUCCUCCUCCCACACACUUUUCCUCUCCAAUACACAUGCACACACACAAGUCUAUGGGGGUGAAUUUGCAUUUGCAGAUAGAUUUUGUUUUGUUCAAAAAAAGCACAGUCUGUAGGCAGUCAGUUAGUGACAUCUUAUAAAUUCCUACUUUGGAAAUAGAACCAGUCUGAUUCCAGGUUGGGAUACAGACAGACUGUAACCUCACACCUUUAAUGCAUUGCCUGAACGGAGAUGUCACUUUUUUUUAAACAGUGAUAACUUGAGCUUUUAUCACAGGACUGUGACUUGAAAGAAAUUCUGGAACUUACAUAUUAAUGAAUCAAAACCUGCAUCCACACUCUAAGUGAUUAGAGACUUAACAGCAAGCUAGGUUUGUUCAAUACAUUGCAUAAGUUGUAUGACACUUUGAUCUUUUACAAUUAAUUGUGUCUUAUAAUCUUGCCCCACUAGCUACCCGAUGAAGGAGCAGAGCUCCAAAAGUUUGUAAUUUCAAAUAAACUUGGAGUAUAA